AGAGUAAUUGCUGGGUAAAAUGGUAGUUAUAUAUUUAAUUUUUAAAGAAACUGCCAAACUGUUUUCCAGAGUGGUUGCCCAUUUUAUGUUCCCACCAGCAAU
rnacentral:pre_miRNA from 1 species